UGGUGUCUGCCCUCUCCUAGCAGAGAA
rnacentral:piRNA from 1 species